GAUGAACGCUGGCGGCGUGCCUAAUACAUGCAAGUCGAGCGAACGGACGGGAAGCUUGCUUUUCUGAUGUUAGCGGCGGGCGGGUGAGUAACACGUGGAUAACCUACCUAUAAGACUGGGAUAACUUCGGGAAACCGGAGCUAAUACCGGAUAAUAUUUUGAACCGCAUGGUUCAAAAGUGAAAGACGGUCUUGCUGUCACUUAUAGAUGGAUCCGCGCUGCAUUAGCUAGUUGGUAAGGUAACGGCUUACCAAGGCAACGAUGCAUAGCCGACCUGAGAGGGUGAUCGGCCACACUGGAACUGAGACACGGUCCAGACUCCUACGGGAGGCAGCAGUAGGGAAUCUUCCGCAAUGGGCGAAAGCCUGACGGAGCAACGCCGCGUGAGUGAUGAAGGUCUUCGGAUCGUAAAACUCUGUUAUUAGGGAAGAACAUAUGUGUAAGUAACUGUGCACAUCUUGACGGUACCUAAUCAGAAAGCCACGGCUAACUACGUG
rnacentral:rRNA from 1 species